UAAUCGUUCAGUAGUAAGCUCAUCUAUUGUUUCUUUUGUUACCUGGUGUUCUCUGGAGUCAGAGACUUUUAAACAUUCAAGCAAGACAGGUGGUUUGCAGCAUUGCAAGUUUUAUAGUUGAUCAAGUUCUGCACGGCACAGUUAUUAACAGCACAGGUUAUCAAUGAUGUAGCACAACCAGCAUCAUUAUUCAAACGACCUGACCCACAGUCGGGUCGUUAUAGAGAUAUAUAUUUGUGUGCGAAUGUUUUUAUAAACAUCGGGAUCUUCACAUCCCUCCAGGUGAUCCCUGAAUAAAGACCUUAAACCCCA